rfam:Ictidomys tridecemlineatus contig088514, whole genome shotgun sequence.
UGGGUUGUGGCUCAGCGGUAGAGUGCUCGCCUUGCAUGUGUGGGACCCUGAGUCCGAUCCUCAGCACCACAU